GAUGAAGAACGCAGCGAAAUGCGAUAAGUAAUGUGAAUUGAAGAAUUCAGUGAAUCAUCGAAUCUUUGAACGCACAUUGCGCCCGCCAGUAUUCUGGCGGGCAUGCCUGUCUGAGCGUCAUUUCAACCCUCAUGCCCCUAGGGCGUGGUGUUGGGGAUCGGCCAAAGCCCGCGAGGGACGGCCGGCCCCUAAAUCUAGUGGCGGACCCGUCGUGGCCUCCUCUGCGAAGUAGUGAUAUUCCGCAUCGGAGAGCGAUGAGCCCCUGCCGUUAAACCCCCAACUUUCCAAGGUUGACCUCAGAUCAGGUAGGAAUACCCGCUGAACUUAAGCAUAUCAAUAAGCGGAGGA
rnacentral:misc_RNA from 1 species